ACAUGCAAGUCGAACGCCCCGCAAGGGGAGUGGCAGACGGGUGAGUAACACGUGGGAACGUACCCUUUUCUACGGAAUAACCCAGGGAAACUUGGACUAAUACCGUAUGUGCCCUUCGGGGGAAAGAUUUAUCGGAAAAGGAUCGGCCCGCGUUGGAUUAGCUAGUUGGUGGGGUAAAGGCCUACCAAGGCGACGAUCCAUAGCUGGUCUGAGAGGAUGAUCAGCCACAUUGGGACUGAGACACGGCCCAAACUCCUACGGGAGGCAGCAGUGGGGAAUAUUGGACAAUGGGCGCAAGCCUGAUCCAGCCAUGCCGCGUGAGUGAUGAAGGCCUUAGGGUUGUAAAGCUCUUUCACCGGAGAAGAUAAUGACGGUAUCCGGAGAAGAAGCCCCGGCUAACUUCGUGCCAGCAGCCGCGGUAAUACGAAGGGGGCUAGCGUUGUUCGGAUUUACUGGGCGUAAAGCGCACGUAGGCGGAUCGAUCAGUCAGGGGUGAAAUCCCAGAGCUCAACUCUGGAACUGCCUUUGAUACUGUCGAUCUGGAGUAUGGAAGAGGUGAGUGGAAUUCCGAGUGUAGAGCUGAAAUUCGUAGAUAUUCGGAG
rnacentral:rRNA from 1 species